rnacentral:rRNA from 1 species
GACGAACCGAGCGAACGUUAUUCGGAAUCACUGGGCUUAAAGGGCACGUAGGCGGGCCAUCAAGUCAGGGGUGAAAGCCCCCAGCUCAACUGGGGAAGUGCCUUUGAUACUGGUGGUCUCGAGGGGGAUAGGGGCGUGCGGAACUUCCGGUGGAGCGGUGAAAUGCGUAGAUAUCGGAAGGAACACCGGUGGCGAAAGCGGCGCGCUGGAUCCCUUCUGACGCUGAGGCGCGAAAGCCAGGGGAGCGAACGGG